rnacentral:rRNA from 1 species
GACUACAUGAAGCUGGAAUCGCUAGUAAUCGCGAAUCAGAAUGUCGCGGUGAAUACGUUCCCGGGUCUUGUACACACCGCCCGUCACACCAUGGGAGUCGGAAAUGCCCGAAGUCAGUGACCCAACCGUAAGGAGGGAGCUGCCGAAGGUGGAGCCGGUAACUGGGGUGAAGUCGUAACAAGGUAGC